GCGGAUUGGCCGGGCGGCGCGCGCUGUUGCCAUGGCUCUGUUGCUAGGGAGGCUCGGCCGUCUCCAGGCCCUGCAGGAAACAUAUAAUUAGCAAAGAUGUUAAGUGGAGCCAGGGUAGCUCUCUGACAGCUCCAGCCUCUCCUCGAUGGUAUCUCGUUGGCCGUCGUUUCCAUGCAGACACACCGACCUGAGCCCAACAUUUCAAGAAGUGAAAAGAAAUCCGUGGAGGUUAAGAAAAAAUUACAAAUCAUCUAUUAGAAUUACAAAUAUUUUUACCCUGUGCUGUUGCUUAGUGGAUUGAAAAUUGAGCCCACUUGGACAAAUUAAAUGAAAUGUGGGAAGAAGACUGUUGGGAAGUGAUCAGCUGGUCCCUGUGUCCUGGAAUUCUGAUUCUGUGGCAAAUAUGACACAUAGAGCCAAACCCAGGAAGAUCUUAGACCCUUGGAGGCCCAGACCAAGUCUACCAUGACAGCCUGCUGCCAUCAGAUCCAUAUCGAGCAAGGGCAUCUGGAAGCUGGUUUGGGAUGGAAACUGCUCCCUUUCACCAUCCCUGCUGCUCUUCUGUGGGCAGAGAGUCUCCAAUCUUCCUUCCUAUGACCUUCAAUCAUCUGUUGGAAAGACACGUCACUUGGAUGAAAUGGAGAGAAUUUAUUCAGAAAUUUCACUAACCGAGAUGAAGCAACCUCUGUGCUGCAUUUGUCCAUCUCUCCUUGAAGACCAAAGAUGAGGUGGGUCACACAAAAGGCAGAUUUUUCCAUCAGUCUGACCUCACAGUACAGUCUUCAUAUUUUGUUGAAUGCAGGAAGCUGAUAACCUUAUCCUUGUCAAGUUUUCACAGAUCUGUGCCUCUUUUCAUCGUAUUCCUCCAGGCAAUUCCGUGUCUAUAUUGUACUUAACCUCAUAGUUUUGAUUUGCAUAGCAGGUUGCCUAUUCCUUUGCUUUUGCACAUUUCUUUUGUUUAAGAAAGAAUCCCAUCCUAAUCCCUUGAAUUUGCCCAUGGUUCUGCCAUUAAUCCCACAAAGAAAAAAAAAGAUGCAAAAUAUACAAAAUCUCUCAGAACCCAGAGAAAAAGAGUAUCCCAAAGAACAUCAGUGUUAAAUACUGUUGUUUACCCAUGCACUCCAAAUGCAUUAGUAGGUUAGAAAAUGGAGAUGAGUCUAGGUUAAACAGACAGCUUUGUCACUUUGCAGAUGACAGGCCUUUAGACUUACAAGAUAAAUAAGACAAUUCAAGCAUGCCUUUACCACUCAACAUACUCCUCCUUAUGUUCUUACAAAAGCUUAUGCAACUGUGUACUGAUGUAAAGGGCACUUUCCUUCCUGUGAUUAUUUAUGCAAUCAGUAAGAAAAAGUUCGUGAUGAACUAGACUCUGUGGGUCAGCCUCUGAUCACUCUAAUUUGAAUGUUGGAUGAAGAAAAAAUGUCACAGGCAGCCAGUAUACUGGAAAAGAGAAGAUCUGUAGGGUCACUGACAGCAGACUGGCAGUGGGUUGUCACAGUAGACUUUGCUGGUUAUUUCUGUGAAUCAUCUGGUCUUUUGCUCCUUGAUCACAGGCUUAGGCUCCCCUGCAUGCAAGGCAGAUGCCUCAUUUGUGGGUACCAACAGGAGUCAUGUCUUAGAUGAAUGUUGAACUGCUCAGAUCUGUUAAAACUGAGAAACUUCUGGGCACAGCUGAAAAUACAACACAAAUCGCCUCAGGAGCACUGGUGCUCGAGGCUGUGAUGCCUGCAGAUUUUUAGGUGCCCCUUGAUUUCAUGAAGAGAUGGGGAGAAAUCAGUGGUUUGAUGUCUGGCUGAUAGCUGGCAGUGAACAGAGCGCUGGACUCUCAUGAAAUCCCAGCUAGGAUUUUGUGUCUGAUUUGGGCUCCAGCUGAAGAAGGAUAGGAAGAAACUGCAGCAGGUGUAAUGGAGGACUACCAAAAUGGCACAAAGCUGGGAGCUCACAGCUCACAAGAAGAGGCCAAGAGAGUUGAGUCUGUCCUGCCUUUGUGGAGACAAGGCUAAGGGACACAUUUGUAACUAAAAGGACUUGAUGGGCAGCUGCAAAGACAGAAGACUCAAGCCCUUCUUAGUAGUUCCAGGCACUAUAAGAAUGUACAAAAUGAGAUUUGGAGUUUCAGUCUGAACAUUAGGAAAAGAUUUUAGCAGGAGGCACAACAGAGGAAGAGCUCACCAGAAAUGUUGUUCAACCUCCAUAUUUUGAAAUUUGCAUAUCUCACCUACAAAAAGCCACAGGCUGGUCCCUUGUGUUAUGAGCAGAAUGAUGGAGACUAGAGAUCUCCAGAUGUCCAUUGCAACCAGCAUUUCUGUGAUUCUGUGAUCUAGAAGAUUUUUAGCACAUUUUGUAGCUGAAAUGCAGUUCCAGACUUCUCAAGUGAGACUAAGUCAGAGCAGGAGACUAGAACACAAAGAAAGGAGAGCAAAAGUUUUGCUCUAAAAACCAAUGCACCAGAAAAUUGAAGGAAUUGUAUCCAUAUGCUAUAGCAAUCUGAGAUGUGCCAUUACAUGGAAUGGGCUGACUGUGAGUUUCUCAUCGUGAUGUGAAGAGUUAGGAAUAACUUCAGAAGGAGCCUGCUGGAAGGAAACUCUGCUUGCUGGAGUGGUGAAAAACUGCUUCAGCUGACAGCAGAACAAAGUCUUUCUAUGCUCUAAAAUGAUUCUCACAGAGACCAAGGAGUGAGAAUGUGUGUGGGGCCCCUUCUAUCUCUUGACAGUGGUUGUGCUCUGGAAUAAAAUGCUGGGGAGAGAGAAGGAAAUACCUCGAGGAGAGAAGUCAGCAUUAAUUUUACUGUUACUGUGUUUCAGAGCGAGCAAUACUGAAGUCUUAGGCUUGCAGAUGUGGUGAUAGCCCCCAGUUUAGUCUGCAACAAAGAAGUCUGCUGUCCACACACACACCCACACACACACAUCUUUCAAAUACCCUCUAACACUCACCACAUGCUUCCUAUGUGAUGAACACAUUCCUGUAGAGUGGGCAAAAGUAGCAUUCCCAGUUUUUGGUGUACUCCAGGUCUGUGACUGUCUAGGCUGGCAGCUGCACGGGGAGCACAGAGUGCACUCCAUGUCACCUAAUCCCACUGUCAAACUGAAGAAGGAAAUUGCAGCUAUAGCAGGCACACAGCAGUGUGCAGGAGUGAGAAACCUAAAAAAGAAAUAAACUUGUAGAUCUCCAUGGGUCUGUUUAAAUACAAUAUUUUAUUCCAUUCUGCGUAGCUUUUUAUACAGUUCUCAUCACCAUAGCAACAGAGGUCCAGCUCUUCAAAUGGAAUUUAGGUAUCCUUCAGCACCCAAAUCUGUCAGCUGGGUGCUAUUGCAGUCACAAAAAUAUUAUUAAUCUUCCACACACUCCUGUGUUUAUUCAAAGUUCCUGGAUACAGGUGCUGUCCAUAGCUGAGAAUAUGCAAAUUGUUCCAGCUCAAGCUGAAACAAGACUUAAAGAUCCCCAAAUGCAGAAUUUCCUCACUUCACUAUCCAGUACCUUUGAAACCCUGGGAAGAUGAUUAAAUGAGCUGUGGUUCACCCGGUGGACAGCCUAGGGACAAAUAUGGCCUUAUAUUCAUUUUUACCUCUGCCAGUCUUGCCACCCUGGCAGGCCCCUCCAGCUUGCUGGUUAAAGAACUGAUGUGUGACAGGCAGGUUCAAAUUUUGCUCUGAAUCAUUUGAUGCAGAGAAAUAUGACUCCUCUCCCACAUCCUACUAUAACCCUCCUGCCAGCUCUCCCUGUUUGAAUGAACAUGCUCAAGCAAAAAAAUUUCCUCUGCAGAACACCUUCCCCUCAGGGGAAUGGUUCGAAUUUUGCCUCAAAUGAAGCAAAACCAGGGAACUGAGCUGGAGUUUCCUGCAGUGCAAGAUUAACAAUCAUCUGUCAUGGUUUGGUUCCAUUAUCUUUUUGCAAAGGGAGAUAUGUACGCAGGGGGAUUUUUAAAAUAUACAUAUUUCUGUGCAUAUAAAUUGUGUCCUCUUUGCGUUCUUCUACUUGGCUGAAUAGUGUGUGUAUACUUAGCAGCAUUGCCCAGACUUUGCAUGCAUAAAUAUUGUUGUGUACAUUUUUUAUUCCCCCUCUAAAUAGCUCAGUUAUGUGGAGUGCAGUGACGUUUGUGCUCAGGCAGUGUGCAAGGCUGUGUGAGGAUGUGCCCUGUGUGAUGGGGGAAGGGGAUCUCCUUGACACAACACUUAUUAGUAUCAUCAAUCACUGGGGAUGUCAUUUCCAAAUUCCCUUUCCCUUACCUAAUUUGCUAAACCUAAUUCUUUAUCACACUAAAAAACCCAGCAUGAGAGAUGGAAGUGAUAAUAAGAGAUGGCUUGCUCUACUGUACAGGGGCAACGUCAGCCUGGCACCUUCUAGAGGGAUUUCCCAUUUUCUCUCUCUUUUCAUGUCGGGUGCUCUAUAUCUGCUCAGCCCAGAGCAAUUAGAAGCCCAUUGCAUCCCUAUUUUACUGUGACUUUAUUUACUUCUGGCUCCUCAGUGAGCUCUUUAGUUGCUGGAGUCCCUAAGUCAAGCAUUUUGCUUGAUUUGUCUGCUGGUGCUUUCAUGGCUUAUUUGCUAAUGCAUCCAGUUCAGGACACCUCCAAAAUGCACUUCAUUAAUCUCAACAACCUAAGGCUAUAUAUUUUUUUUCCAAGUCUGGCACUAAAUUAGCCGAAGACCUUUAUCAAAAACUUGCCUUAUUGAAUUUGCCAGUGCUGUCCUACUUGUGCAAAUAAUUGCAUGUCUGUAAAACUUGGAGGGAGGAAAACAGCAAGCCAUGUGUGGAAUCUAAACUACUGACUCAAAACUCCCAUCCCUGCCAUGGACAGUGCCAGGAUCUUAUCCUAUAUGUGCUGUCACUUCCAUUCCAUAUGCAAGUCUCCUUCCUGUCAAUGAAUUUAACUCACCAGAAAUCAUUGAUUUCCCUGGGUUUGUUCACAGGAUUGUCCUACACACAGACUCCUAAUGGAAUUAAUGGAUCUGCAUCCUGUCCACAUAGAUUAUAGCACUGGAUUUGGGCUCAAUUAUUCAUGGACGUGACUUUGUUUUACCAGCAGACCUUAAAAAGACUCUCAGUUGUCAGAAAGGGGAUGCCAGAGAAAGAGAAUAGAAAUGUAUGAAAACUGUAAUAGUAAGGCAGGUCAGAAGCCUUAGGAGAAGAUGACCUUCAAAAUUUCAUGCACAUUAAGGGGAAAAACCCCAAACAAGCUCUGUUUUUCAUAAAGCAGGGAAGGUGCAUGCAGUGUGUAAAGCUUUUAACACCAGCAUAAAGAAUCAGUGAAGCCUGACUCUUAGAUUUGAUGAGAAAUGAGUAAGAUUCAGAAUACAAAGUUGUCACCAAUUAGCAGCAUCUCAGCUAAAAGUGUGAAUAUUUUUAGAAAACUGAAAGGAUUCAAGAUUUAUUUUUAAACAAAGAAUGGGUUUUAAUCAGAUGAAGAGAUGGGUAUUAGGAGGGAUGCUUUACACAGAUCCUUUGGGAAUUUUGUUGCUUAGUGCCAGGAGGAAUGGUACUUAACUCUUUUUAUUUUUUUGUCUUUUUUUUUUUUUUUUCACUUUGAACAUCUGUAAUUCCCCCAGUGACUGCACAGUCCCUUGAGCUAGACCAUUGGGACUCCCUGUUCAGAUGCUGUCAUGAUGACAUCAGUCUUGGUGGGAGCGUAGGAAAUAUCAUUGUGGAUCUAGGCACACCAGGCUGGAAAUUCACCAAAACCAGUGUUUAUAUGAGUCCAGUUAAACUGACCACACUGGGAAGAUCCUACUCCCAGUGAAAAAAUCUGAAAUAUGAAAAAAGCUGAAAAAUCACCAACUCAGGCUGAGAGCAGCCAGGAUUCACUAGAAAAUUGGGAGAGAAUGUUUCUGACACAGAAGCUGCCAUAACAGAUGUGCAAAGAGGGGUCUGCUUUGAUACCUGGAUUUGUGGUGCUGCACUUCCCUCACCCUGAGCACCUUCCAGGCAGUCAGGCACCAAAAACUUUGUUACUUGAAUGCCCCAGGGGCAGCAGCAACAAUUCCAACCAUGAACUCUGCUAUUUGCCCAGAGGUUCUGAGACCCUCAAAACUGCUGUUCCUUUACAGACAAGGUACCUGUUUGCUUAGCUUCCUCACUGAAAGCCAUGUUCAAACAGCAACAGCUGAAAAAAAACCAGGCUUAAACAAGGUAUUUGAAAUUGCACAAGCUCUUCUGAGCAGGGAUUGACUACUACACUUACCCAGUGCUCUGUACUCAGUUCUUGGUUAGCUUUUAGGCAGCUCUGUAAAAUUUAUUCUCCAAGGAAAAUAUAAAAUCUUUAAAGGCUAGAAAAUUUCAGUAUUUCUAUGUGAGAUGUAUCUAAUGUAUGAAAAAUCUCUGCUUGCUACAACCCAGAUAUUUAUGGUAAAUGUGCUCUGAUCUUGUGAUUUCACACCAAAAGGGAUUCAUGCCACUGCCAAAUAUUCAAGGAAAGUCACCAUAAAUCUCCUUGUGUCCCACUGAAUACCCAUAAAAAAACCCCUACCAGAUGAAGUCUUCUUUUCUAAGCUGUAAGUACCUAAUGGAAAUGCCUUUUAGCACAGGGAGGUUACAAGGAAUGCAGCAAAACUUUAGCACUGAAACAACAAGUUUCUUUUCAAUAGCUUCUUUGUCUCCCCAGAUCCAGAACUACAACUCCUCCAUACAGGAAAUGCUCCAAUAUUCAGAUUGUCUGUGGAGUAUGGGUAUUGUUUUAACCUUUUUGUAGAAGAAAUAAAGAGUGAAAUAUUUAAAUAAAUUGUAAAUGUAAAAUUAUAUGUGAUUAGACACAGAUAGUAACCCUCAACUCCUGCAUAUUUUGUGAAGGUUGGGAGAAAUUUUUUUUUGCAUAAAAUCUGUUAUGAGAAAACAUUAAAAAACAUUUCACUAAGUAAUGUGACCAUAUCUGCCAGAGGCAAGAUGAUGAAUUUGAGAGCUAUACAGAUGAUGAAUUUGAGAGCUAUUUAUCUUAGCUGGACCAUAACAACCAACUGCAAAGAUGGACAAAGCUCUUGCCCCUAAUGGCUGGGUUUCCACUCCUCCUGGGCAGGUGGAAUUUAGCCAGGUCUCUGUGGUUUUUUCAGUCUGUAGAACAUUAAAGAAGAUGAAAAAUUGUUGCAAAGAUACAAUUUUCUUGCAUACUUUGAAACUAAACAAUAUUAUACUCCGUGACAUAGAAAUUUUUUGGCAGUUAAGUAUCUUAUUAUUCACACUUGGUCUUCAUCAAUAACUGUACUCCUGUAAGACCAUUUAAUACUGUGCCUGGUAAAUUUUCUCAACAAGUCUGGAAGAUUUGUUGUAUUUAGAUCAAUACCACAGCCAUUUGGUUGGCAUGUACUAAGAAAAAUAUUACUUUUGCAAAUCCAAUCCACCAAGUCAUGUACUGAGGUGCCAUUCAAGCUAGGAAGGUUCUGAAGGCAGUUGUCCCAGUCUUCCUGCUGCUCAAAGGGCUGUGCAAUAAUUUUGGCCCAGGAGCCAGCUGUAGGCUUAUUUAAAAUAUCAGCAACUUUCACCUUGGUGUAAGGUUUAGUGAAACUCAUUGUUUUUAAUUUGCAGCUUUGAGAAGUGUAACCAUCUAUGUUUUAUAGAUUUUUCUUUUCCUGUGAGGAAACUCAUCAACUUUGAUGUCUGUAACUAUUGAUUCUCUGCAUUAAGGGAUUGGUAAAACAGAUUAACCACAAUAGCGUGUUAAUUAAGACCAUGUUUCAGCUUUCCAAAAUUACUCUCUUUUUGCAGAAAGCUGAUGAAUUGACUGGCAUUAGAGACCAUCCAGCCCAAGGAGCCAGAAUGUACAGAUCACAGGGGAAAUCAUGCACAUACCCAAGAGAAGGUUUGGAGAGAGUGCAAUCCCAUUUUCACAAUGUCCUGUGUGGGUCUGUUGUGUCCAAACCUUUAGUGAUGCUAACAGGAUAUUCUGCAUAUGCACAGCUUGUCAGAUCUUCAGCCAGGCUGAGACAGGAUUUGCCAUGCAUGAAAAUUCCAGGAGGAGGGGUCAAGACUAGAAACAGGAUCUUGUCCCACAGAAAGAUGUUCUGCCACACAAAGCCAGUCUAUCAGCCCAGGAACCUCUUCAGGGUUUCUAUAUUACCUUCAACUAAGGCAAUAAUUUGCCUCCUUCCAUCUUUCAUGCCUCUUGUGCAGUAAGGUUUUACUCUUUGGAGAAAGCUUGUGGUGGGUUUGUGCCUGGUCUGGAGGGUGCUAAGCUGAGCUGGGACAUCAUCCUGGCUGCCCCUGGGUAAAUACCUCGACUCUGCUCUUGUGAGAUUCCCCCUGGGGUGCUGUGUCCAGUUUGGGGGUCCCCAGCCUUGGAAAGACAUGGACCUGUUGGAGUCAGUCCAGAGGAGGCCACAAAAAUGAUCAGAGGGUUGGAGCACCUCUCCUACAAAGACAGGAUGAGAGAGCUGAGGUUGCUCAGCCUGGAGGAGAGAAAACUUCAGGAGGAUUUAAGAGUUCCUUUCAGUACCUAAAGGGGUGUAUAAGAAGGAUGAGGAGAGAGGUUUAUCAGGGUUUGCAGAGACAGGACAAGAGGUAAUGAUUUUAAAAAACAAAGGUAGAUUUAUAUUUGAUAUAAGGAAGAAUUUUUUUAUGGUAAGUGUAGAGAAACACUGGCACAGGCUGCUCAGAGAUGUGGUAGAUGCCCCAUGCCUGGAAACAUUAAAGAUUGGGUUGUACAGGCUUUCAGAGCUACCUGAUCUAGUUGAAGUUAUCCCUGCUUACUGCAGUAGGGAUGGGCUUUUAAAGGCUCUUUCCAACCCAGACUGUUUGACAAGCCAGUGAUUCUGAUGCGGGCUGGUAGUUACUGCUGCUAUUCAUUCAAGUUUCACUUGCAUUGAAGUGUUAGUUCUGCAAAUGCCCAGUGCUCUUCUGAUGUAUUCAGUCAGAGAACAUGAUCAGAAUUUGCUUUUUAUGCAGUGAUGUGGAUUGCUUUUUAAGCUAUUCUGUCUGGGAGUUAGAAAAAAAUUGAAUCAAUGUCCAAGGGGUGUCCCUGGUGCUAGAUCAGGCUGGCCUGAUCCACUUUCAGACUGUGCCAUGUGGGCAGAGAGUCAUGUCCAGCAGCAAAAUCCCCUCUCCAUUUCUUCCCCACCCUCAUUACCUAGUGCAAGGAUACCCAGCAAACUCUUGCCCCUCUUAACAUCAUGCAAACUGGAAUGUUUUCUGUCCAAAAAAAAGUAUUGAUAGCACAGCCCUUCAAGGACAUGUAUCUUGCUGUGCCCAGUUAUUUCAUUUUCAUUUGGAUAUGUAAAAAAUCUGAGGAACAUGAGCUACACAGCUUUUGAAUUUUGUUUAAAAAUACAUCUUUCCUGGGUAGAUGGGAGUAUGCUAAAUGUGUGUAUCUUUUAGAAAAAGCCUCAAUUUUAUUAUUGCUAUGAUUUCCCACUUUCACUAUUUUCUGGAAGGAACAGGGUUAUUUUGUUCAGAGAUUAUUUUAGCUGGUUCUAUCCAUUUUCCUUCCCCUCUCCCCAGAAAGCUUUCUUUUAAUAACAGUUGUUUUUUCUUUGCAACUGCUGGGAAGAGGAGUCCAAUAAACCCCUCCUUAGGUUCCUUCCAUAAAUAAAAUAAAAAACCCAUCUUGGCUGUCAUUCAGGCCUGCCUUUUCAUUAAUUCUAUUUCAAUGUAUUUUAUGUGACCGUGUGCCUGCCUUUGCAACAGCAAGGAAUCUCAGUGGGAUGGAGCAGCUUAAUCGAUCAGCAAUCCUGGUCACCCAGAAAGAGUGUUAAUUGGCCUCAGUACUUGAAGCAUGUGACACUGCCUGACCUAAUCAUCAGAACUGGAGAAGUCAAUAAAUUAGAGGGGAAAAUGCAGAUGGAUAAAAUAAAGACCCAGCUCUAUACAACACGCUGUGAACAUCGUUCCUGAAUAGUGCUCUGUGGAAAAGCCAAGUUAAGCAUUUUCUGGAUAAGGCCCAGGGGAGCUAAGAGCAAGAAUAAUUUCAUGUUUUCAGAGUUUCACCUUUUAGUCUUCCAUCACGUACACUUGAUAUGUCUCAGCAAUUUGUCUGAAAUCUCCUAACUGAACCUGUGAAAAUUAUUCAUUCUCCCCCUCUAAUAACCAGCAGUGCAGCUUGCCUCGCUCCUGCACUCCCUGGGGAGGGACUGAGGCUGGCCAAGCCAAUAUGACCUGGUCAGGGGUUUGGCAGGGACAUGCCCAGGCUCACCUCCCUCUGAGACAGGAGCAGUGUUCCCACAAAAUUUGAUGUCUGGGUUAAAUGCUGCAGGUGAGAUCUCAGCUCCAUCUGCCUCCAUAGGAGCAGGUUGGCUUUGUCACAGGGCCCAGCAUUUAACUACUGAUGGACAAAUAACUUCAGGCUGCUAAUUAAUACCCAGGCAGAAGCUGGUGAGAACACCUACCACAGAACAGCCAGGGAAGGAGAAGGAUUGUCUUUGGAGAUGGGGCAAUCCACUGUCAGGGCAGUGUCCUGUCAGCCCUAUUAAAAGUGCUUCCUUCCCUGUGCUGCAGGGGGAAGACUUUGCUCCCUGGAGCCAGCAGGGGUGACUUUCCAAGUGUUGGCUGCAAAGGAAGUGCAAGCCCAGGCUGUCCAGUAAACAUGGAAAGGACUGCCCUGGUGACUGAACCAUGUGGGAUGUGGGCCCAGGCAGAAGCUGGUGGGACAGAAGAGUUCAGAGUCCCAAACCUGCCCUCUUAUGUGGAAUGGCUGUGUAGGGAUAGAACCCUUAACCACCCUUCUGUGGGACGAGGCAGUGUCAGGAUUGGAUGUGGAAUAAUAAAGCCCUUGGUCCUGCCUGCUCCAGAGGCAGUGAGUACUGUAGUGAGACCCAAACCUUCUCUUAAAUGUUCAGAAAAAGAAGGAAAUCAAUAAAAAUGCCAAUAAAUGCAUCUGUCAGGCAAUGAGUUAGAGGGAGGAUGGUGUAAGGUGUAUCACUGUGCUGGUUUUGUCUGGGAUAGAGUUAAUUUUCUUUACAGUUUAUAGUAUGAGGUUUUUUUUUUUUAAUUUGUGCUGAAAACAGCUUUGAUAAUCUAGAGCUGGUUUUGUUGUUACUGAGCAGGGCCAAACACAGAGCCAAAGCCUUUUCUGCUUCUCAUAUCACCCUGCCAGCAAAGGUGGCUGGAGGUGCACAAGAAAUUGGAAGGAAACACAGCCAGGACAGCUGACCCCAUCUGGGCCAAGGGGUGUCCCACACCAUAUGGCAUCAUGCUCAGAACAUAAAGAGGGGGAAAGGAGGGAGUGGAGAGCAUUUGGAGUGAUGGUGUUUUUCUUCCCAAGUCACUGCUAUGCGUGACGGAGUCCUGCUUUCCUGGGAAUGGCUGAACACCUGCCUGCCCAUGGGAAGUGGUAAAUGAAUUCUUUAAUUUGCUUUGCACAUGGAGUGGCUUUUGCUUUACCACUUAAAAUGUCUUUAUCUCAACCCAUGACUUUCCCAGCUUUUACCCUCCUAUCAGAUUUUCAGUUUCCUACCAGUUAGAACCACCUUGUGUUGGUGGAAUCACUGGAGGGGGCUGGAGGGAGAGGCACUGCUGCCAGCCAGGUGUGGGGAUGCCAGCAAAUCCAGAAUGACUCCCAGAUCCCAGCACAACCAAUGUGAUAGCAAAGGGCUGGAUGUCUCCUACACCAAAAAUUACAGAUGUCCAACCAUGAGUAAGUGAACAUGUGCCUGGUAGGAGUGCUGUGAUGCUAUUUUAUCCAGCACAAAUGUCUGGAGGGACAUUUAUCCAUCUGUUGGCUGUCCACAUAGCUGUGCUCUUAUUUAUUCUCCUUGUUCUUUUAUUUUUUUUCUGCUGUUGUUUAUUUAUGUCUAGAUCUGUGAGAGAUGUAUAUCUCUCUAAAUCAGCUCCAGAGAUAGUUGCACAGAUAAACAUCUGUUGCAAGGUAUGGUCCAUAGAGAGAAAAUACUGUGUUAGCAGAGGAACCAACACAAAAUUGCAGUCAAAACUGAUAGGCACAGUCCAAUUAGCUGCAACUGGUCAUUUCCAAAAAUAAACAAAGCUUAGGAAAAAAAAAUAUCAGAGAGAAAGUUAGCAAGGCAUUACAAAAUCAUUUGUUUGCCCUUCAAGUGCCAGAAGAUGUUCAGAGACAGCAGAGCUUCUGAUGUUAAAGCAAAUAUGAAAGGAAAGCAGACUGGAUUAUUGUAGCCUGGCAGACAUGAAGGAACUUAAGGAAUAGGAGCAAUAAAGUCUCCAGACCAGCCAGGUGAAAAGUGCAAACCUGUCCUGUCCCCUCUGUCCAUAGCUCUCUUUUUCCCAGAGCCAACAAAAAUAUCUGUACCAUAUCCUUUACCUGCUGGCCUUUGAGUGGGGCAGACAGGGUUUUAAAAUAACAAUAAUAAAGCUUUCAAUUUUUAUUUUAAUAAGGAAACAUUUUUUUUUAAAUCAGAUUGCCAGGCCUAUCAUGAUUUACCUCUGAGCCCUUUGUUUGGCUAAUGAAUUUAUGCCCCUGUCUCUAGGGGAAGAAGAUCUUGUCAUUUGCAAAAUGAUGCCAUUGUCAGCAUAUCUCACGCUGAGAUGAGGCAGGGAAAGAAAUCCCUGUUCAGCUUCCUUGGUGCUGAUCUCUCCUUCCUCAGUGUUUGGUGCUGUAAGAGGGCAGACCAUUGUUCAGACCAUUGUUCAGCCCUCUUCUGCUCGAGGGCUGCUGUCUGGUCCCAGAGCCUUUGGGGUCAGGAGGGACCACAGUGUGAAUGGAAAACCUCACACCUUUGUCCCCUCUCACACCAGGAGCUGCUUAUUCUGUCACUGCACAAAAGCUCCUUCAUUGGCUCAGCUUGGGCACAAAGUGAGUGGAACAUGCUCCCCUAUCCUUCACCAAAAGGUUGAAUAAGAGUGACAUUUUUGGCUGAAACACAGUGAAAAGAAGGCUGGACUGCGGGCCAGGAGGUGAUUCUGCAUCUCUGGCAUGGACACGGUGCUAACCCAUAUGGCAAUAAAAUCCCCCAGAUGGCUUCAAACUUUGCUGGAGACAGUCUGCCUUCCAUCCCCUUCUAUUCCUGAGCCACUUCACACCAUGCCAGGGCAGCUUCUCUGCUCUGGUUCAGGAUCCCAGAGUUGCUGCCUACCACCUUCACCCUCAUUGUGGGUACCUGGUGAAUUUAAGGGUGAAGAUGGCUGAGGAGCAAACCUGUGUCACAGUACAAGGGCAGACCUAAGUCCUGGAGCACUAUCUGGUAUUGGUUUUGUAGUCUCUAGCUAAAAAAAGAAAAACAGAUGUCUUUUUUCCCCCUAAAUUCAAAGUGCCAGUUAUUCAUAAUCCUCACACAAAUCUGGCCUGUGCAGGGCCAA